rnacentral:rRNA from 1 species
UACGUAGGGUGCAAGCGUUGUCCGGAUUUACUGGGCGUAAAGAGCGCGCAGGCGGUCGUUCAAGUCGAGUGUGAAAGCCCCCGGCUCAACUGGGGAGGGUCAUUCGAUACUGAUCGACUGGAAGGCAGGAGAGGGAAGCGGAAUUCCCGGUGUAGUGGUGAAAUGCGUAGAUAUCGGGAGGAACACCAGUGGCGAAGGCGGCUUCCUGGCCUGUUCUUGACGCUGAGGCGCGAAAGCUAGGGGAGCAAACGGG